UUUGUUUAAACAAAUUCUAUUUCCAUCACAAUAUCAAUAUCGACCAACUACUGGUGACAUCGAGACAGUGUACGUAAUAUAGUAACAGUGUUGAUGUGAUACCAAUUCCUAAAUCCGUUAAAUAAUUCUAAGUGCGUUUUACAUCUAACCGAGUAUAUCAAAUAAUCGAUAUGUUUUCAGUGACACUUUCAUUUUGACAACUUAUCU